UUCCUGGUGGCUGAGUGGUAAAGAAUCUGCCUGCAAUGUAGGAGGCUUGGGUUCCAUUCCUGGGUUGGAAA
rnacentral:tRNA from 1 species